GGACUGGAAGAUCAUUA
rnacentral:rRNA from 1 species